rnacentral:rRNA from 1 species
ACGAACGCUGGCGGCGUGCUUAACACAUGCAAGUCGAACGGUAAGGCUCCAGCUUGCUGGGGUACACGAGUGGCGAACGGGUGAGUAACACGUGGGUGACCUGCCCUGCACUUCGGGAUAAGCCUGGGAAACUGGGUCUAAUACCGGAUAGGACCGCACCGUGAGGGUGUGGUGGAAAGUUUUUUCGGUGUGGGAUGGGCCCGCGGCCUAUCAGCUUGUUGGUGGGGUAAUGGCCUACCAAGGCGGCGACGGGUAGCCGGCCUGAGAGGGUGGACGGCCACAUUGGGACUGAGACACGGCCCAGACUCCUACGGGAGGCAGCAGUGGGGAAUAUUGCACAAUGGGCGGAAGCCUGGUGCAGCGACGCCGCGUGGGGGAUGACGGCCUUCGGGUUGUAAACUCCUUUCACCAUCGACGAAGGGUUUCUGACGGUAGAUGGAGAAGAAGCACCGGCUAACUACGUG